UCAAGUCUGGUGCUUACCAUAGACUGUGUUCUCACACUGACUGUAUAGAAAGAGGAGGGAUAAUAAACCCAUCCCAUGUAUACCUCAGCCCAGACCCUGGGCCCCUCAUCUGUAAUGUGAAUGGGAAGACAACA
rnacentral:snoRNA from 1 species